rnacentral:rRNA from 1 species
CGGUGGGGGCGGGCUAACCAUGCAGUCGAGCGGUAACAGAGAUAGCUUGCUAUCUGCUGACGAGCGGCGGACGGGUGAGUAAUGCUUGGGAAUAUGCCUUAUGGUGGGGGACAACAGUUGGAAACGACUGCUAAUACCGCAUAACGUCUACGGACCAAAGGGGGGGAUGCUUCGGCACCUCCCGCCAUUUGAUUAGCCCAAGUGAGAUUAGCUAGUAGGUGAGGUAAGAGCUCACCUAGGCGACGAUCUCUAGCUGGUUUGAGAGGAUGAUCAGCCACACUGGGACUGAGACACGGCCCAGACUCCUACGGGAGGCAGCAGUGGGGAAUAUUGCACAAUGGGCGAAAGCCUGAUGCAGCCAUGCCGCGUGUGUGAAGAAGGCCUUCGGGUUGUAAAGCACUUUCAGCGGGGAGGAAAGGGGAGUGGUUAAUAGCCGCUACCUGUGACGUUACUCGCAGAAGAAGCACCGGCUAACUUCGUGCCAGCAGCCGCGGUAAC